rnacentral:rRNA from 1 species
AGCGGGGUUAAUCGGAAUACUGGGGCGUAAGCGCACGCAGGCGGUCUGUCAAGUCGGAUGUGAAAUCCCCGGGCUCAACCUGGGAACUGCAUUCGAAACUGGCAGGCUAGAGUCUUGUAGAGGGGGGUAGAAUUCCAGGUGUAGCGGUGAAAUGCGUAGAGAUCUGGAGGAAUACCGGUGGCGAAGGCGGCCCCCUGGACAAAGACUGACGCUCAGGUGCGAAAGCGUGGGGAGCAAACAGGAUUAGAUACCCUGGUAGUCCACGCCGUAAACGAUGUCGACUUGGAGGUUGUGCCCUUGAGGCGUGGCUUCCGGAGCUAACGCGUUAAGUCGACCGCCUGGGGAGUACGGCCGCAAGGUUAAAACUCAAAUGAAUUGACGGGGGCCCGCACAAGCGGUGGAGCAUGUGGUUUAAUUCGAUGCAACGCGAAGAACCUUACCUACUCUUGACAUCCAGAGAACUUUCCAGAGAUGGAUUGGUGCCUUCGGGAACUCUGAGACAGGUGCUGCAUGGCUGUCGUCAGCUCGUGUUGUGAAAUGUUGGGUUAAGUCCCGCAACGAGCGCAACCCUUAUCCUUUGUUGCCAGCGGUCCGGCCGGGAACUCAAAGGAGACUGCCAGUGAUAAACUGGAGGAAGGUGGGGAUGACGUCAAGUCAUCAUGGCCCUUACGAGUAGGGCUACACACGUGCUACAAUGGCGCAUACAAAGAGAAGCGAACUCGCGAGAGCAAGCGGACCUCAUAAAGUGCGUCGUAGUCCGGAUUGGAGUCUGCAACUCGACUCCAUGAAGUCGGAAUCGCUAGUAAUCGUAGAUCAGAAUGCUACGGUGAAUACGUUCCCGGGCCUUGUACACACCGCCCGUCACACCAUGGGAGUGGGUUGCAAAAGAAGUAGGUAGCUUAACCUUCGGGAGGGCGCUUACCACUUUGUGAUUCAUGACUGGGGUGAAGUCGUAACAGGGGGUACCCGUAAAAACCGGGGGGGGGG